CAACUCCUCGGGAGGCAGCAGUGAGGAAUUUUGCGCAAUGGGGGAAACCCUGACGCAGCAACGCCGCGUGAGUGAAGAAGGCUUUCGGGUCGUAAAGCUCUGUCAAGUGGGAAAAAAGUCUGAUGAUUAAUAGUUGUCAGAUCUGAUGGUACCACUGAAGGAAGCACCGGCUAACUCCGUGCCAGCAGCCGCGGUAAUACGGAGGGUGCAAGCGUUGUUCGGAAUUACUGGGCGUAAAGGGCGUGCAGGCGGGUUGGUAAGUCAGAUGUGAAAGCCCUGGGCUUAACCCAGGAAGUGCAUUUGAAACUGCCAUCCUAGAGUAUGGGAGAGGAGAGUGGAAUUCCCAAUGUAGAGGUGAAAUUCGUAGAUAUUGGGAGGAACACCCGUGGCGAAGGCGACUCUCUGGACCAAUACUGACGCUGAGACGCGAAAGCGUGGGGAGCAAACAGGAUUAGAUACCCUGGUAGUCCACGCCGUAAACGAUGGAUACUUGGCGUCG
rnacentral:rRNA from 1 species